AUUGAACGCUGGCGGCAUGCCUUACACAUGCAAGUCGAACGGUAACAGGUCUUCGGAUGCUGACGAGUGGCGAACGGGUGAGUAAUACAUCGGAACGUGCCUAGUAGGGGGGGAUAACUACUCGAAAGAGUGGCUAAUACCGCAUGAGAUCUACGGAUGAAAGCAGGGGAUCGCAAGACCUUGUGCUACUAGAGCGGCCGAUGGCAGAUUAGGUAGUUGGUGGGGUAAAAGCUUACCAAGCCGACGAUCUGUAGCUGGUCUGAGAGGACGAUCAGCGACACUGGGACUGAGACACGGCCCAGACUCCUACGGGAGGCAGCAGUGGGGAAUUUUGGACAAUGGGCGAAAGCCUGAUCCAGGAAUGCCGCGUGCAGGAUGAAGGCUUUCGGGUUGUAAACUGCUUUUGUACGGAACGAAAAGCCCGGGUUAAUACCCUGGGGUCAUGACGGUACCGUAAGAAUAAGCACCGGCUGACUACGUGCCAGCCGCCGCCGUAA
rnacentral:rRNA from 1 species